AUGGACGAUGCGGCGCCGCCGGCCAGGGACUGGUCGCUGCUGCCCCUUGACGUUCUCUCCUCGAUCUUCACCAGGCUCGGCGCCGUCGACGUCCUGACGGGCGCGGGCCUCGUGUGCCGCUCGUGGCUCGAGGCGGCCAGGUUGCCAGACGUGUGGCGAGUAGUGGAGAUCGAUAUCCACGGGAUGCUGCUCCCCAAGAAACUAGUUGCCCUGCACGCAAUGGCGAAGACUGCCGUCGAACGCUCCGACGGACAGCUCCGGGUGUUCGCCGGGGAGCACGUCAUCACCGAUGAUCUCAUGAAGUUCAUCGUGGAGAGGUCGCCCUCACUGACAACCCUUCGGCUUGUAUCCUACAGCCACGUCUUCACCCAACAAGUCGCCAGUGCUAUAAAAGAGUCGCCUCUGCUGGAGCUGCGUUCCCUUGAACUCGGCGACAUUGACAUCACCGUGGGAGAACUGACCAGCAUCCUUGAGGACUGUCCUGCUCUGGAGGUUCUUCGGCUGCACAAUUGUUUGGACAUCAACGACAACCAUACCCUGCAAGCGAAGUUCCCCAGGAUCAAGAACCUGACGCUCGAGUGGGAUGAUGCGUACUGGUCCCGUUUUUAUACAGAUGGCUCUUACAGCGACUCUGCUCCUGAUUCUGAAGAUGAGUGGACAGAUGGUUCAAUGUGA
rnacentral:rRNA from 1 species